rnacentral:tRNA from 1 species
UGGGUUGUGGCUCAGCGUUAGAGCACUUGCCUAGCAUGCAUGAGGCACUGGGUUCAUUCCUCAGCACCACAU